rnacentral:rRNA from 1 species
GAUGAACGCUAGCGGCAGGCUUAAUACAUGCAAGUCGAACGGGAUUGAGAAGCUUGCUUUUCAUGAGAGUGGCGCACGGGUGCGUAACACGUAUGCAACCUGCCUUGUCCAGGGGGAUAGCCCGUUGAAAGACGGAUUAAGACCGCAUAACCUCAUUGAAUGGCAUCGUUUAAUCAUGAAAUAUUUAUAGGGACAAGAUGGGACUGCGUCUGAUUAGCUAGUUGGCGGGGUAAUGGCCCACCAAGGCGACGAUCAGUAGGGGAUCUGAGAGGAUGACCCCCCACACUGGUACUGAGACACGGACCAGACUCCUACGGGAGGCAGCAGUAAGGAAUAUUGGUCAAUGGGCGCAAGCCUGAACCAGCCAUGCCGCGUGCAGGAAGACGGCCCUACGGGUUGUAAACUGCUUUUAUACGGGAAGAACCCCGGUUUCGUAAAACCGGCUGAAUGUACCGUAAGAAUAAGGAUCGGCUAACUCCGUGCCAGCAGCCGCCGUAAUAC